AGAGCUCAAAUUUAAAAUCUGGCAGUUCCUUGAGCUGUCCGAGUUGUAAUCUAGAGAAGUGUUUUCCGCGUUGGACCGUGUACAAGUCUCUUGGAAUGGAGCGUCAUAGAGGGUGAGAAUCCCGUCUUUGACACGGGCUACCAGUGCUUUUGCGAUGCACUCUCGAAGAGUCGAGUUGUUUGGGAAUGCAGCUCAAAAUGGGUGGUAAAUUUCAUCUAAAGCUAAAUAUGGGUGAGAGACCGAUAGCGAA
rnacentral:rRNA from 1 species